rnacentral:tRNA from 1 species
AGGGAUAUAGCUUAGUGAUUGAGCACAUGCUUAGCAUGCACAAAGUCCUGGGUUAAAUCCCCAGUACCUCCU